AACAAACGCUGGCGGCGUGCCUAAUACAUGCAAGUCUAACGGGUAGCAAUAUCAGUGGCGCACGGGUGAGGAAUAUAUGGGUAAUCUGCCCUCGAGUCGGGGAUAACCAGUCGAAAGACUGGCUAAUACCGGAUAAGACCACAAGAUCUGCGGAUCUAGGGGUUAAAGGUUUUUCGCUUGAGGAUGAGCCCAUACGGGAUUAGCUAGUUGGUGAGGUAAUGGCUCACCAAGGCUACGAUCCCUAACUGGUCUUAGAGGAUGAUCAGUCACACUGGAACUGAGACACGGUCCAGACUCCUACGGGAGGCAGCAGUAGGGAAUAUUGCACAAUGGGGGAAACCCUGAUGCAGCGACGCCGCGUGAGUGAUGAAGGCCCUUUCGGGGUCGUAAAGGCUCUGUCGUAUGGGACUAAC
rnacentral:rRNA from 1 species